rnacentral:rRNA from 1 species
AUUGAACGCUGGCGGCAGGCCUAAUACAUGCAAGUCGAGCGAGCGGCGGACGGGUGAGUAAUGUCUGGGAAACUGCCUGAUCGAGGGGGAUAACUACUGGAAACGGUAGCUAAUACCGCAUACUAUCAGAUGUGCCCAGAUGGGAUUAGCUAGUAGGGGGGGUAACGGCCCACCUAGGCUACGAUCCCUAGUUGGUCGGAGAGGAUGACCAGCCACACUGUGGCGGAGACACGGUCCAGAAUCCUACGGGAGGCAGCAGUGGGGAGUAUUUGACAAGAAGCGCAAGCCUGAAGCAGCCAUGCCGCGUGUGUGAGGAGGGCCUUCGGGUUGUAGAGCACUUUCAGCGUGGAGGCGUUACCCACAGAAGAAGCACCGGCUAACUCCGUGCCAGCAGCCGCGGUAAUUC